rnacentral:sRNA from 1 species
AACAAUCUCAUGCGUGGUGGUGCAGUAUUCUAGUCAGCCCGGCCAAUUUUGAAGACGGGCCUAAAAAUCCGUCAAGGGCACAUCGAUGAAGUUCCUGGUGCUGGCUCUCGACGCCCAGUCGGGGGUUGGUGCUGGGAGUUAAGGAAGGUGGGCGAUCCGCAAAGGCAUGCGGGCGUUGACCCACUUUCCGCGGAGACCCAAGCUGGUGGUAACCAUCGGUUGCUACUACUUGGGCGUGAACCUGUAUCGCGGCGAAAAGCUGUGUACAGUGUAGCCCGCCUUGAGUGGUAUGGGUGGAUUACAGGUCAGGUUCCUGCGCAAUAGGGCCCAUUGUGCGGGGACUAUUGCUGUAUGAAACCCAUGCUGCAAAAGAGGCUAGAAAUUGGCUGCGGCUGUCGGGGAAAGCCCCUAGACUGCUAUACGGUGCGUUGGGGAUUACAGUGUGGUCUAAGUGGUGAUCCAGUUUUACCGUUGGCGACACGGUAAGGCGGGGUUUAAAGGGAAACCGCUUCUUCGGCGACGGGAAGUACCCUGCCGGGAAAUCCUACUGGACCUUAAGCCGCAAAGUCUACCCAACGCAUCACCACCACGAUACAUAUUAAG